rnacentral:rRNA from 1 species
CAGCCGCCGCGGGAACACGUAGGUGGCAAGCGUUGUCCGGAAUUAUUGGGCGUAAAGCGCGCGCAGGUGGUUUAAUAAGUCUGAUGUGAAAGCCCACGGCUCAACCGUGGAGGGUCAUUGGAAACUGUUAAACUUGAGUGCAGGAGAGAAAAGUGGAAUUCCUAGUGUAGCGGUGAAAUGCGUAGAGAUUAGGAGGAACACCAGUGGCGAAGGCGGCUUUUUGGCCUGUAACUGACACUGAGGCGCGAAAGCCAGGGGAGCGAACGGGAUUAGAUACCCCGGUAGUCCCUGUCUCUUAUAC